rnacentral:rRNA from 1 species
UGUACUUUAUGAAUAAGGAUCGGCUAACUCCGUGCCAGCAGCCGCGGUAAUACGGAGGAUCCGAGCGUUAUCCGGAUUUAUUGGGUUUAAAGGGGGCGUAGAUGGAUGUUUAAGUCAGUUGUGAAAGUUUGCGGCUCAACCGUAAAAUUGCAGUUGAUACUGGAUGUCUUGAGUGCAGUUGAGGCAGGCGGAAUUCGUGGUGUAGCGGUGAAAUGCUUAGAUAUCACGAAGAACUCCGAUUGCGAAGGCAGCCUGCUAAGCUGCAACUGACACUGAGGCUCGAAAGUGUGGGUAUCAAACAGGAUUAGAUACCCUGGUAGUCCACACGGUAAACGAUGAAUACUCGCUGUUUGCGAUAUACGGCAAGCGGCCAAGCGAAAGCGUUAAGUAUUCCACCUGGGGA